rnacentral:rRNA from 1 species
AUUGAACGCUGGCGGCAGGCCUAACACAUGCAAGUCGAGCGGAUGACGGGAGCUUGCUCCUUGAUUCAGCGGCGGACGGGUGAGUAAUGCCUAGGAAUCUGCCUGGUAGUGGGGGACAACGUUUCGAAAGGAACGCUAAUACCGCAUACGUCCUACGGGAGAAAGCAGGGGACCUUCGGGCCUUGCGCUAUCCGAUGAGCCUAGGUCGGAUUAGCUAGUAGGUGAGGUAAUGGCUCACCUAGGCGACGAUCCGUAACUGGUCUGAGAGGAUGAUCAGUCACACUGGAACUGAGACACGGUCCAGACUCCUACGGGAGGCAGCAGUGGGGAAUAUUGGACAAUGGGCGAAAGCCUGAUCCAGCCAUGCCGCGUGUGUGAAGAAGGUCUUCGGAUUGUAAAGCACUUUAAGUUGGGAGGAAGGGCAGUAAGCUAAUACCUUGCUGUUUUGACGUUACCGACAGAAUAAGCACCGGCUAACUCUGUGCCAGCCGCCGCAGUAAUAC